GGAGAAUCCCAGAGACAGAGGAGCCUGGUGGGCUGCCGUCUAUGGGGUCGCACAGAGUCAGACAUGACUGAAGCGACUUAGCAGCAGCAGCAGCAGCAGCAUUUGCAAAUAUCAGCAACAUGUCUAUUUUUGCCUGAGCUCGGAGUGUCUGAAUUUGUGGUCUCUUCCAGCCCAUUCAUCAAUGUCUUAAAUCAGAAGCAAAAAAAUGAGAGGAUCUCUGUAUGGUGAAAGCUGGGAAGGAGGCUCCACAAGUGGAAGGCCCAGAUCUUCCAUGAGAAAUCUGCUCAAACUUGUACCAUCCCCGACAGAACUGCCUCCCUCCCCUUUUCCUUCUGCUGAUGGGAGGGGAGGGGGCUCCUCCCGUUUUCUGUAACCGUUUACUUAGGCAGGCAUCAAUAAUUCAGGACACCAGCUCCCUUUCUGAAAGCCCAGGUGAGGGCCAUGGGCCUCUCCAGGCCAGCAGCUCAUUUACUCUCUCCUGCAAGACUCUGUGGAAAUCACUCCAGGCUCCUGGCUGGCCAGACCACGGCUGCCCUUGGAGAGGAGAACACCGUGAGCUUUGACUUCUGAGUUGAGAGCUGCUUUUGUGCUCCGUCUUUAGUGGCUUCCCAGAUCUCCUGAGUCUGUGAAAAUAUCAGAGGCCACAUCUGGGGUGGAGAUACCACGGUCCAUGAGCAGCAGCGUGACACCCGGAGAGGAUUCUGAUCUAGCUUCAGACCCAGGCUCCUCCUACCGGACCAGAUGUGGUUGCAAAUCCUGCCAAAUGUGAAAGAAAUUUCCCAAAAAAGAUAAAACAGUGAUCUCAGUAGAUACAAAACCAGAUGAUAUGUGAAAGUACAAGAUGAAUUUCAGUUGAUGAUCACAGACAUGGGGGAAAAAAGCUCAAUCUCGUAAAUCGAGGAGACAGAUCACAGGAGCACAUGAACUGACCUCAGAACGCUUGAUGGCUCCCAUCAGAAGUAUUGGUCAACAAGAAGAACUGAGGACAGCCACUGGAUGACAGUAUCAGGAAGAUCCUAGACUUUCUGGAAUACUAUGGCAUUCAUUAAUUAUCUUAUCUUGUACUGAAAUCAGAAAAGGUGGUGCCUUGGUUAGAAGAAAGAGCACAAGACGUGGAACUCUGGCAGAUCACUGGUACUAUGACUCUAGCCAGAGAACAGACAAUCUUGGCUUCCAGAUCAAUUUUUUUGCAUUACAAAAAGUGACCAAGAUGUUCUUUAAGGUUCAUUAAAUUCCAACAUUCAAAAUUGUGUCAACCUUUAAGGUAUAACUAAAGACUCAACCCAUUAUAAUAAUUAAAGAUAUAACAAUUUGAAAUAUUUUUUAAAUCUUUUUAACCAGUGUUUUUCUUCUUUGCAAAAUGUCAGAGUGACUAAAAAUUAUUAAAAAUAUAUAGAUAUACUUUAGCAGUUUCCCAAUUAUCUUAAAAUCAUUCACAACCCUUGAAAGCACUCAUUUAAAGACCAAAUCAAUUUGACACAGAAACAAUUUAUUUGGCAUCGUAGAGACUAUGAAGCACAGAUUUCCAUCCAGUGUGAUCACAUAAUUACAAAUCACGUCUCAUUGAAAUCCAAUGAGAAAUCUCAUUCGGCACAUUUUAUUUGGUGUCAAAAAAAAAAAAAAAGAAGUAGGUCAAAGUUCAAGUAUAGACAAUUAUUAGUAUUUCAUAGUGUAUAAUUUUUGUCAAAGUUUGUCAAUGCUUUCUAAAGAUAUUGUGAGCAGACAGAAAAAAGAAAAUGUCAUGUAACAAGUCACAGAAGAAUUCUGCUCUGAUCGGUUAAUGCUUAUUACCUUUUGAGCUUUAAAUUACAUGUUCAAAACUUCUUAUUCCUUCCACACAACGUCCAGGUGUUUUCCUUCCUUUCUGGCUAGAGAAGUUGGAGUAUAGACAGAUUCACUUUUGAAAUUGGAAAGUAGCUAACUAUAUUAGUCACAGGGCAGGAAGUUUCAAAUAUGCAAGAUGAAUAAGUUCUUGGGAUCUUUGUACAUCACAGAUACUAUAGUUAACACUGUUUUUUAUAGUCAAUAAUUUACUAAGUGAGUAGAUCUCAUGUUAAGUGUUCUUACUAGAAAAAUAAUAAUGAUAAUUAUAAAGAAGAUGGUAGGAAACUUUUGGAGGUGAUGGAUAUGUUUAUAUCGUAGAAUGUGGUGAUGGUUUUACCAGUGUAUAACAUGAAACUCUUCAAGUUUUAUGCAUUAAAUAUGUAAAAUUUUUGUAUGUCAAUGUCUUAAUAAAGUAA